rnacentral:lncRNA from 1 species
CUUCUCCUCCCAAAGGAACAUGCCCAGGCUCUGGGAAGUGGGUACCUCCCCAAGGCUGCCCCACCUCCCUUGGGGCAGAGCCCACAUCUAGACCGGUCCUCAGUGCUUUGGUCCAGGAACAUGGAAAGAGGCAAGAAGAAGCAAGGCCAGUCCACUGAGGUGGGCUAGGCAGGAAAGCAGCCUGGUGGAUGCGGCUUGGUUUCCACAGAAGCUCGGUCUGCACCCUGCCUGUGCACCUGGAGCCAGGGCGAAUGCACUUGGAUGGAGAGAGGGAAGCUGCAGUUCGAAUUAAACAGACCGUAUUUGUAAAGUGGUUUGAAGAUGAAAAGCCCCGUAGAAGUUAUGGUUGUCAUUACCACGAAUAAUGGAUGCGCCCAGGCGGCCAAAUGGAACAUUGAUGCCCGGAGUCAAAGCCCCCGCACAUCUUUCAGGUGCAAUUAUCUGUGGCCUGGCCUCGGCGGUGUGCCUCGCGAUGGGAUCCCUACACCUUGCUGGGGUAAGAAGUUAGGCCUCAAAGAUUUCUCAGCACAGAGAGCAGGAGAGUUUCUCAGGAGGCAGGGCUCGGGGUCGGCCUCCCUGUUUCUUGUCCCCCGUUGUGUUGUCGCCUCCAGACAGGAACCCCGGCCACAGCAGCCCCUGGGCCCCCCAGACACAGGGCACGCUCCUCCUGCAGGAGGCCUGCCUGGUGGGUCUCAACGUCGUUGCAUCCUCCACUGACUCCUUGGGGCACCCACUUUCCGGAUAGGCCCUGGGGGAAUGAACCUGGGGACAGGGCUGCUUGCUCCUGGUGAGAGUCCCACGGGGAAGCUGGGGAAACAACAGCUGGCUCAGGGCAACCCUACUCCAGAGCACUCCCACUUCCUUUUGGAACUCUCUGCUCUGUUCUGCCCAUGUCCGUGGACACCACCCGUCCUGGGCAUGCUGUAACCUUGCCGGCAGAGCUGUGGGGAUGCUGGGCAGAGCGACUGGACUGAAGCUGUGCGCCUCCUCUGGGAAUCUGGAUCAUUUCAAGCCGGAUCCACCAGGCUGCUUUCCUUUAGGAGGAAAGAGGAACUUCCACAAUGCAAAGCAUUUGUAUUUUCAAAAAUCAAAGUAAUUUUCUAAAGAUGGAUUCAGGAGAGGUAUUUUCUUGUAUGGUUUUUUUUUUUCAUUUUUUUCCCAGCAAGGAGCAUGGUUUGUUUAUGUAAUUAGAAAAAUCAACAGUCUCCCCCCUCCCAAAACAACAACAUCACCGAUGUGAAGAGUACCUGCUGAGCAUGGAAAGCAGGGGCAUGAGCCUGCAUUCAAACAUGCAUAUUUUCACAGCAGCAUCCUAUCUGGGAUCUGUUUUCAUUCACCUUGAGUUAAU